rnacentral:tRNA from 1 species
AGUAAUACACCAAGCCUAUCACUUACAAUGAUACAACGUUAUAGUAAAUAACUAUUACUUC